rnacentral:rRNA from 1 species
ACAGAGGCUGGCGACCGGCAAACGGGUGCGGAACACGUACGCAAUCUACCCAAAACUGGUGAAUAGCCCUCCGAAAGGAGGAUUAAUACACCGUAACCUAUUGAAGUGGCAUCACUUUAUUAGUAUAGCUCCGGCGGUUUUGGAUGAGCGUGCGGCUGAUUAGAUAGUUGGCGGGGUAACGGCCCACCAAGUCUGCGAUCAGUAACUGGUGUGAGAGCACGACCAGUCACACGGGCACUGAGACACGGGCCCGACUCCUACGGGAGGCAGCAGUAAGGAAUAUUGGUCAAUGGACGCAAGUCUGAACCAGCCAUGCCGCGUGAAGGAUGAAGGUCCUCUGGGUUGUAAACUUCUUUUAUAGGGGACGAAACCUCUUUUUCUAAAGAGACUGACGGUACCCUAGGAAUAAGCACCGGCUAACUCCGUGCCAGCAGCCGCGGUAAUACGGAGGGUGCAAGCGUUAUCCGGAUUCACUGGGUUUAAAGGGUGCGUAGGAGGGCAGGUAAGUCAGUGGUGAAAUCUCCAAGCUUAACUUGGAAACUGCCGUUGAUACUAUCUGUCUUGAAUACCGUGGAGGUGAGCGGAAUAUGUCAUGUAGCGGUGAAAUGCUUAGAUAUGACAUGGAACACCAAUUGCGAAGGCAGCUCACUACACGAAUA